rnacentral:rRNA from 1 species
AGGAUGCGAGCGUUAUCCGGAUUUAUUGGGUUUAAAGGGAGCGCAAACGGGUUUUUCAUUCAGCUGUGAAAGUUCGGGGCUCAAACUUGAAAUUGCAGUUGAUACUGGCGACCGUGAGUGCAGUUGAGGCAGGCGGAAUUCGUGGUGUAGCGGUGAAAUGCUUAGAUAUCACGAAGAACUCCGAUUGCGAAGGCAGCUUGCUAAAGUGUAACUGACGUUUAUGCUCGAAAGUGUGGGUAUCAA